AGUGAACGCUGGCGGUAGGCCUAACACAUGCAAGUCGAGCGGCAGCACAGUAAGAGCUUGCUCUUACGGGUGGCGAGUGGCGGACGGGUGAGGAAUACAUCGGAAUCUACUUUUUCGUGGGGGAUAACGUAGGGAAACUUACGCUAAUACCGCAUACGACCUACGGGUGAAAGCAGGGGAUCUUCGGACCUUGCGCGAUUGAAUGAGCCGAUGUCGGAUUAGCUAGUUGGCGGGGUAAAGGCCCACCAAGGCGACGAUCCGUAGCUGGUCUGAGAGGAUGAUCAGCCACACUGGAACUGAGACACGGUCCAGACUCCUACGGGAGGCAGCAGUGGGGAAUAUUGGACAAUGGGCGAAAGCCUGAUCCAGCCAUACCGCGUGGGUGAAGAAGGCCUUCGGGUUGUAAAGCCCUUUUGUUGGGAAAGAAAAGCAGCAGGUUAAUACCCCGCUGUUCUGACGGUACCCAAAGAAUAAGCACCGGCUAACUUCGUG
rnacentral:rRNA from 1 species